AGAAGGGUCAAGUUAAGGUAAGACGGCCGGUUUGGUUCGGUUCAAUUCGGUUCACUGGUGAGGGGGAGACGGGCAGUUCGUUUUAGUUCGGUUCAUUAGUGCGGUUUGGUUCAGAAAAAUAAAGAGAAAAACGGGUUAGUUCGGUUUCUUGGUUUAGAGAAGAGUCAGGUUUUGGUUUGAAAGAAAAAGGUCAGUUUAGUUCAAAAGAGAGGAUGAAGAGGGUGUAGGAAAACUUGCCACAUGGCAAAAAUUAUUGGGAAUUCAUAUUAGUUAAUAGAU
rnacentral:lncRNA from 1 species